rnacentral:lncRNA from 1 species
UGUGGGGUGGUUAUGGGGGGAUAUGGGGUCAUAUGGGAGGUUAUGGGGGAUAUGGGGUGGUUAUGGGGUCCCUAUGUGUCCCUAUGUGUCCCUAUGUGUCUCUAUGUGUCUCUAUGUGUCCCUAUGUGUCCCUAUGGGUCCCUAUGUGUCCCUAUGGGUCUCUAUGUGUCUCUAUGGGUCUCUAUGGGUCCCUAUGUGUCCCUAUGGGUCCCUAUGUGUCUCUAUGGGUCUCUAUGUGUCUCUAUGGGUCCCUAUGUGUCCCUAUGUGUCUCUAUGGGUCCCUAUGUGUCUCUAUGUGUCUCUAUGUGUCCCUAUGUGUCCCUAUGGGGCCGUAACCCCCGUUUCUCCCCGUUCCAGCCCCACUGAAUCCCGUCUCACGGUGUCCGACAACUCGCUGCUCUGGAGCGCCCCCGUGCGGUACCGGGUGGGAGCCGCGGUCACGUGGCUGGAGGACUCCACCCCAUAUCUCAGCUUCACCCCCGGCCAGACCCACAACUCAACACUGAGGCACCAUUACCAGCCCCCGUUCCGAUCCCAUUUAUGCUCCCGUUUGUGGUUCCGGUUCGGUUCGGGGCUGUUCCAGCAUCACCCACAAGGGGGCGACAACGGGAUGCAGGGCACGACGGAGGUGGAGCUGCUGCCCCCCCCCCCCCCCAUUGCUCUUAAUGUACGUGGGGGGGCUGCGGCGGGGCGGGUGAUGCUGCUGCCCUAUGGGCGUCGCUGGGCGUGGCGCGAAGGUAAAUUUGCAUAAUUUGCAUAUUAAUGAGCUAAGGGGAUGGGGUGGGGGGUCACUAAUUAGGGUAAGGUUAAUUAGUCUGGAGGGGUAAAUUAAUUAAGGGGGUUAAUUAGAGCUUGUUAAUGGGCCGGGGGGGGGUGAUGCUGCUGCUCCUAUUGGGCGUCCUCCUGUCCAAGGUAAUUUGCAUAAUUGCAUAUUAAUGAGCUAAGGGGAUGGGGAUGGGGUUAAUUAACCAGGGGGGUUAUUAAAUGGGGAGUAAUUAAUUAAGGGUUUAAUUAGAGGAGGUCAGUUAAUUGGGAGGAUGGGCGAAGGGGCUGGGAUAGGGGGAUCACUCUAAUUAUCAGGGGAUAAUUAGGCAUAUUAAUUUGCUUAAUUAGCAUACUAAUGAGCUUACACAGGGGAUGGGGGGGCUUAAUUAAUAGGGGGGUUAAUAGUGGGGUGUCGCUUCGACUGGUAAUGUGUGAAUGUAAGGGAGUUAGAUUAGGAGCUUGUUAAUG